AUACGGCUGAUGAGUCCAAAAUAGGACGAAAAUGCGCGUCCUGGAU
rnacentral:hammerhead_ribozyme from 1 species